rnacentral:tRNA from 1 species
GGAGGUUUUAGCUUAAUUAAAGUGCCUGGUUUGCAGUCAGGAGAUGUAUGUAGUAUUACAGACCUU